GACGAAGGUGGCGAGCGUUGUUCGGAAUCACUGGGCGUAAAGCGCACGUAGGCGGCGGCGUAAGUUGGACGUGAAAUCCCCCGGCCCAACCGGGGAACUGCGUCCAGUACUGCGUUGCUUGAGGAUCCAAGGGGUGCAUGGAAUUCCCGGUGGAGCGGUGAAAUGCGUUGAUAUCGGGAGGAACUCCGGCGGCGAAAGCGGUGCACUGGUGGAUUACUGACGCUGAGGUGCGAAAGCCAGGGGAGCAAACGGG
rnacentral:rRNA from 1 species